GUUGGGCUCAGGGUGCGGGUGGGAGCUUGUGUGCCACUCUGUUGCCGUCAUGGGCUUCGGGGACCUUAAGUCCGCUGCUGGCCUCCAGCUCCUCAAUGACUUUCUGGCAGACAGGAGCUAUAUUGAGGGGUAUGUCCCUUCUCAGGCUGAUAUAGCAGUCUUUGAAGCAAUCGCUGCCCCACCUUCUGCAGACUUGUUUCAUGCUCUUUGGUGGUACAAUCAUAUCAAGUCGUACGAAAAGCAAAAGGCAAGCUUGCCAGGAGUAAAGAAGGCUUUGGGGAAAUACGGUCCUGCUGAUGUUGAGGACACAACAGGUGCAGCCACAGAUAGCAAAGAUGAUGAUGACAUUGAUCUUCUUGGAUCUGACAACGAGGAGGAAAGUGAAGCAGCAAAGAAACUGAGGGAAGAACAUCUGGCCCAAUAUGAAUCAAAGAAGUCCAAAAAACCAGCUGUUGUUGCCAAAUCAUCAAUCUUACUUGAUGUAAAACCUUGGGAUGAUGAAACAGACAUGGCCAAACUAGAGGAGUGUGUUUGAAGCAUUCAGGCAGAUGGCUUGGUCUGGGGAUCUUCCAAGCUGGUACUGGUUGGCUGUGGUAUCAAAAAGCUUCAGAUCCAGUGUGUUGUUGAAGAUGAUAAAGUUGGAACAGAUAUGCUGGAAGAGAGAAUAACAGCUUUUGAAAAUUAUGUACAAUCAAUGGAUGUAGCUGCUUUCAAUAAGAUUUAAGUCUUGAUAUAUCUAGAAUAAAUGUAAUUGCA